GGAAAAUUGGGGAAAGUGGGAAGAACAAGAAGGGAUCAAAACGAAUUCCAAUGCGAUCACAUUAAUGAAUUUGAGGGUUCCAUUUCAACUGUAAUCGAGAUAGUUUCCCGCGUCUCGAUCGUGAGAACAGACCGAUUUGUUGACUAAUUAUGAUCGAAAAAGGCAAUGUCUGGCCAUUGUUGAUAAUUUGUUUUAGCUGUCAAAGCUCCGUC
rnacentral:misc_RNA from 1 species